AAGUCGUAACAAGGUUUCCGUAAGUGAACCUGCGGAAGGAUCAUUAUAGAUUGACCGAAAGGUCGUGUCUUCAUCCACACACACCGUGAACCGUUUUGGAGCCCUCAGGGGUUCCGGACAAACAAACCAAAACAAAACGUAAAGAAUGUAAACUAUCGUAAACAAAACAAAA
rnacentral:misc_RNA from 1 species